rnacentral:rRNA from 1 species
AUUGAACGCUGGCGGCCGGCCUAACACAUGCAAGUCGAACGAGUGGCGGACGGGUGAGUAAUGUCUGGGAAACUGCCUGAUGGAGGGGGAUAACUACUGGAAACGGUAGCUAAUACCGCAUACCAUCAGAUGUGCCCAGAUGGGAUUAGCUAGUUGGUGGGGGAACGGCUCACCAAGGCGACGAUCCCUAGCUGGUCUGAGAGGAUGACCAGACACACGGGAGAUGAGACACGGUCCAGAGUCCUACGGGAGGCAGCAGUGGGGAAUAUUGAACAAUGGGAGCAAGCCUGAUGCAGACAUGCAGCGUGUAUGAAGAAGGCCUUCGGGGUGUAAAGUACUUUCAGCGGGGAGGCGUUACCCGCAGAAGAAGCACCGGCUAACUCCGUGCCAGCAGCCGCGGUAAUUC